rnacentral:rRNA from 1 species
UGAACGCUAGCGACAGGCUUAACACAUGCAAGUCAGGGGCAGCACAAGGAGCAAUCUGAGGUGGCGACCGGCGCACGGGUGAGUAACACGUAUGCAACCUGCCUGUAAGCGGGGAAUAACCCGUUGAAAGACGGACUAAUACCGCAUAAUACUAAAUUACUGCAUGGUAAUUUAUUUAAACAUUUAUGGCUUACAGAUGGGCAUGCGCAUGAUUAGCUAGUUGGAGAGGUAACGGCUCCCCAAGGCAACGAUCAUUAGGGGUUCUGAGAGGAAGGUCCCCCACACUGGUACUGAGACACGGACCAGACUCCUACGGGAGGCAGCAGUGAGGAAUAUUGGUCAAUGGACGAGAGUCUGAACCAGCCAAGUCGCGUGCAGGAAGAAUGUCCUAUGGAUUGUAAACUGCUUUUGCAGGGGAAUAAAGUGCAUCACGUGUGAUGUUUUGUAUGUACUCUGCGAAUAAGGAUCGGCUAACUCCGUGCCAGCAGCUGC